UACGUAGGGGGCAAGCGUUGUCCGGAAUCAUUGGGCGUAAAGAGCGUGUAGGCGGCCCGGUAAGUCCGCUGUGAAAGUCCAGGGCUCAACCCUGGGAUGCCGGUGGAUACUGUCGGGCUCGAGUCCGGAAGAGGAGUGUGGAAUUCCUGGUGGAGCGGUGAAAUGCGCAGAGAUCAGGAGGAACACCCGUAGCGAAGGCAGCUCUCUGGGACGGUACUGACGCUGAGACGCGGAAGCGUGGGGAGCGAACAGG
rnacentral:rRNA from 1 species